GAUGAACGCUGGCUACAGGCUUAACACAUGCAAGUCGAGGGGAAACGACGGGGAAGCUUGCUUCCCCGGGCGGCGACCGGCGCAAGGGUGAGUAACGCGUAUCCAACCUGCCUCUGACUGAGGGAUAACAAGUCGAAAGUCGGACUAAUACCUAAUGGCAUCGUCUGCGGGCAUCCAACGACGAUUAAAGGUUUCAUCGGUCAGGGAUUGGGAUGCGUCUGAUUAGCUUGUUGGCGGUGUAACGGCGCGCCAAGGCUACGAUCAGUAGGGAUUCUGAGAGGAGGCUCCCUCACAUUGGAACCGAGACCCGUUCCACACUGCUACGGGACGCAGCAGUGCGGAAUACAGCUCUAUGGACGGGAGCCUGAUCCAGCCAAGUAUCGUGCAGGAUCACGGCCCUCUGGAUUGUAAACUGCUUUUAUGCAACGAUUUAGUGAGGUACGUGUCCGUCAUUGAAGGUACCGCAUGAAUAAGGACCGGCUAACUCCGUG
rnacentral:rRNA from 1 species